GCCCGGUUAGCUCAAUCGGUAGAGCGUGAGACUCUUAAUUACCUUGGUAAUAGAAAGAGUGUCCCUCUUCGAACCAGGUGAUGAGUACGCGAUCUCAAGGUUGCGGGUUCGACCCCCGCAUCGGGCU
rnacentral:tRNA from 2 species